rnacentral:rRNA from 1 species
UGUGCUUGCACAGAUGACGACCGGCGCACGGGUGCGUAACGCGUAUAGAACCUACCUUUUACAGAGGAAUAGCCUUUAGAAAUGAAGAUUAAUACCUCAUGGUAUUGUAGACUGGCAUCAGUUUAUAAUUAAAGAUUUAUCGGUAAAAGAUGGCUAUGCGUCCUAUUAGUUAGUUGGUAAGGUAACGGCUUACCAAGACAGCGAUAGGUAGGGGUCCUGAGAGGGAGAUCCCCCACACUGGUACUGAGACACGGACCAGACUCCUACGGGAGGCAGCAGUGAGGAAUAUUGGACAAUGGAGGAGACUCUGAUCCAGCCAUGCCGCGUGUAGGAAGAAUGCCCUAUGGGUUGUAAACUACUUUUAUACAGGAAGAAACACUGGUAUGUAUACCAGCUUGACGGUACUGUAAGAAUAAGGACCGGCUAACUCCGUGCCAGCAGCCGCGGUAAUACGGAGGGUCCGAGCGUUAUCCGGAAUCAUUGGGUUUAAAGGGUCCGCAGGCGGUCGAUUAAGUCA